CCUGGCUUGCCCACCUCUCACUCCCUGUAGGAGUACAGAUGAUGGAGCUCAUGAAGAAGUUGCCAAGGACUGACCACAAACAUUGGGUGACAGGCAGGACUGGCUCUAGCUCGGCCCACUGAGCUCCCAUCUCUGAGAGGAGUAAGGCCAAAGGAAGCUAAGGCCCGGAGACUCAAGAAAAGAUGAGGAAAAUGGAUGAUAUGCAGGCAACCCCACAUUUCGUACAUACCGGGAGCCACAAAUGCAAGGAUCUAUGGGAACCGCUAAUGAGUCACAGAUCUGCAUCUACAGAGAGGGCAAAGGACGGAAAUGGAUGUCCCAUGCCGCUGGUGGGAAUGAAAAUGAAGUUGCGAGUGCGUACUCUGUCCAGGGUCCAGCUUUAGAAGUUCCUGUAACAGCCAUCUCUAGACACGGAGACUUAAUAUCCUCCUGGAAUGAUAUUUCUUACACAAGUCCGUCAUUUGAAAGGGAUAUUUCAAGAGCAGGGGUAAACCUUUGUGUUUACCAGGAACAAAAAGUGUCAGCCUCUCACAGGAAGGAGUCAGUCUACACAUCUGGGGACGGAACACCUGAGUGUGACUCAGGGAACUGACUGCUGGGGAACAAAGAAAAGGAGGUCAGAGUGGGCCCUUUUGGCACAGACCUGUAAUCCCAGCACUCUCAGAGGCUGAGGCAGGAAGGUCACAAGUUGGGGCCCAGCCUGGGCAGCUAAGCAGCUUGGGGAGAUCUCAAAAUAAAAAAUAAAAAUAAAAAAAGCUGAGACACAGCUCAGUGUGAGGGGCCUGGGUUCAAUUCCAAAAAGAAAACACAUACACACACACACACACACACACACACACACACUCACACACAAAGGAGAUGGAGAAUGGAUGCUUCAUUUCAGCCCAACUGACACAUUUUUCUUAGUCCUUCUUGGCCAAGAUUUGUAAAUGAUGACUAUCAUAGCUGAAUAACGUAUUUCCUGCAAUUCCUUUUAUAUAUUCAGCUCAUACACAAACAACUGCUUUGGUAGAAUAGAGGCAGAGUCACCCCAUCACAAGUCUCAUCCUUUCAAUCCCCCAGAUAGACUGGUGAGGCAAGAAAGGUUCAUCUUGGGUCCCAGUGUCUUUGAUAGCUUCCUUAUGAUAUGGUACUUACUGUGUUGUACUGAAGUUCAAUCCUUACUGUCUGCCUUCCCAAUUGUACUGUGCAAUAAUGACCCUGCAAAUAGUGACCUUCAUUGGGCCUUAAACAUAGUAGGUAUUCAAUAAUCAUCCCCUGAGUAAGUGAACUCAUUAUUCUCUCUCUGAACUGUUUCCAGUGCAGUAGUUUCCAACAGGGUGACGUUGCCCUCAGAGGACAUUUGGCAAUGUCUGGAGACAAUUUGACUAUCACCACUGGGCUGCUAUUGAAAUCUAGUGGGCAGAGGCCACAGAUGCUGCUAAAUAUCCCAUAGCACACAGAAGAGCUCCCCACUGGAAGAAUUAUCCAGCCCCAAGUGUGAAUAGUGCUAAAGUAGAGAAGUCCAUAUCUAAAGGGAUCUUGUAAAAGCCCAGAAUGGGGAUGAAUUUUCCUUGUGGCCGGUCUUAAAUGUCACCACCAGACCUGGCAUCGUGCAACUCCUGGCUCUUCCACAGAGUAAAUAUGACCUUGAGAGAUAAAUGUUAUAAAUCAAUUCAGGACGUCUAAGCAGCCAGGACACACAGUUAAAGACAUUCAUGAAAAGGACUUCCAGAACUGCUUCAGAAAGUUGCAAGGAUGAUGGGGUAAGUGUGUUUGAAGUGAAGGGGAAUAUUCCAAGGAGAUUAACAGCAAUGUAGCUUUUGCUCUAAUAAAUGUUUUACAAUUUAAGCAUUAACUAUAUUUUCUGAUUACAUUUUUAUUGUUUUUCUUGCCCAGAAUGCCACGGGCUCAUUGUACAUAGAUGGAUUUGAGAAUGCUUUCCAUUUAGUAGAGAGCUUUCUGCCAUGAGAAAACCCACAAGAUGAUGGCAGGGCUGAAACAAAAUGUGGUACAACAUAUGCUUCUGGGGUUGGAAGUGUAGUGGGACUUGAACUGUGUUCCUCCAUUAAGUUAAUAUAUUGAGGCUCUGACUUCCAACAUGACUGCAUUUGGACAUAGGGCUCAAGGCAGUGAUAAAAGUGACAUGGGGCCACCUCUGAUAGACUGGUAUCCUUAUAACACCAGGGAGAUACUUGAGCUCUCUUCCUCUGCUGCAUGAGGAUGAGAAGGAGGCCUCUGCAAGCCAGUGGGAACCACCUACCGGAGCCUGAGUCUGAUGCAGCCUUCAUUUUGGACUUUGAGCUCCCAGAAAACACAGCUUUGGAUAUUUAAGCUGUGUACUGUGUGUUAUUUUUGUCAUGGCAGCCUGAACAGACGAGGAUAGUUGUCCCAGAGAUAUUGGAUCCUAAUCCCUGGAACUUGUCCAUGUUAUCUUAUUUAGAAAAAGAGUCUUUGCAGAUGAGAUUAAUGAAAGGUUUCCAGAGGACAGAAUCGUCCUACGUUACUCAGGUGGGCCAAUGUGAAAAUUAAGGCAGAGGUUGAAUAGAAUUGGCAGCAGCUACCAGAAGGUAAGAAACAUAUCACCACCUAGACCUUUCAGAGGAAGGGUGGCCCUGCCAAGACCUUCACGCC
ensembl:lincRNA